CGGAUCGGAGUCUGNAACCCGACUCCGUGAAGCUGGAUUCGCUAGUAAUCGCGCAUCAGCCAUGGCGCGGUGAAUACGUUCCCGGGCCUUGUACACACCGCCCGUCAAGCCAUGGAAGCCGGGGGCGCUUGAAGUGCGUUGCCGCAAGGCGCGCCCUAGAGCGAAACCGGUGACUGGGGCGUAAGUCGUAACAAGGUACC
rnacentral:rRNA from 1 species